rnacentral:lncRNA from 1 species
GGAUGAUAGAAUCCUUGACACUUAACUGUCAGAAGUCAGAUGAUACAAUUACCAUGAUGAGUGACAACAUCAUAAUGGCAAGCAGAAGAGACUGACCCACAGAAAUCUAUGGAGAUGCCUAUAGAACACUGUGUUCCUAGAGGCAAGAUAGAUGGGUAUCCAAUGACAUCUUGCAUUUCUUACCACUAGGAGAGAAGCGCAAUAUUUGAUGUUCAGGGAAUAUCCACUGUUCACCGGUCACUGAUCUGAACAUAAGGAAUAAACAUCUGAACUAGUGAUAGGAAGUUAAUUUCUCAAACUGCCAUGGAAGGAGGGUUUCCAUUAAAGCUCUGAAAAGAAAAGAAUGCUAAAACUUCCUUCCAAAACCCAUCACAGUGUCUAUAUGUCUUUAUUUUUUCUCAUGGUAGAGAUGGAGAUUGGCAAUAAAUAUUUGUUAAUACCCUUCUAUAACCCAAAGUUAAUUUUUCUUUAAUAAUAAAUCCGAUAGGC